UCACUUCAGCAACACAGGUACUAAAAUUGGAACAAUACAGAGAUUAGCACAGCCCCUGCAUAAGGAUGACAGACAAAUCCAUGAAGCAUUCCCAAAUAAA
ensembl:snRNA U6 U6 spliceosomal RNA